UACGGAGGAUGCAAGCGUUAUCCGGAAUCAUUGGGCGUAAAGCGUUCGUAGGUGGCUAUUCAAGUCUGCCGUUAAAGAUUGGGGCUUAACCCUAAAGCGGCGGUGGAAACUGAAAGGCUAGAGUGCGGUAGGGGUAGAGGGAAUUCCCGGUGUAGCGGUGAAAUGCGUAGAGAUCGGGAAGAACACCGGUGGCGAAAG
rnacentral:rRNA from 1 species